rnacentral:lncRNA from 1 species
GGUUGGAGAAAUAUGCAGAUAUAAUGAUUCUUUACACAAUGUACAAUCAUCAAUGACACCAAACCUCAUGUUGGCCCUAAGGACUUCAUUGUGUGCAUAUUUCGCAAUGUGCCCAGGCUCGUGUACCUGCAGAACAGAUAAAACCAGUGGUGUCAUAUUUCAGCAAGCUCACAGCCAAUUGAGAACAGUUUUCCCUAGUUACGAGUAUACACCUGUGGCACACAGACACACACAGGCAGUUCCUAUGAUAACAAGGAUCUAACAGCGGGAACCACAACGCUCCUACAGUGUGUAGAGGAAAGGACGAACUGAAGAACAACUCAUUUUAAAUCAUUUGAAGAUGAUGCGAUUGCCGUUCCUGUGUCUCCUGCUUCUGCUUCCAGCUGUUACUGGUGUUGCAGACGAUUUCGAAGGGUCAGCUUUUGAAGAUGAUGAUGAGGAUUCAGUCCAGAAAAGUGGUAUGUUUAUUUUUUCUUCUUUUUUUAGUAAACGUGAGUGUCCGACUAUUGCCGCAUACAGUAGUGGCAGCCAUCCAGAGGACAGUUUGGGAGGCAGCUAGGCCAUCUGUACUUAUUGUCAGUAACUCUGCAUUGUGGGGAGAUUGCUACAGUCCUUUGAGAUGUGAGAAAGGCAGUGGCCCCUGUUGGCUUUACCUCCCCUCGACCAUUAAACCCUGAAUGGAAUCAAUUAGCUCUCUAGUGGGGCUCUGUGGAUUCCGCUGAAAGGCCAAUGAGCACGUCGACAUCUUUGCCGUCCUGUCGGUUAGCUAAUAAACAUUGGCAUUCUCCUUCUCUGUCCA